UAGCUCAGUUGGGAGAGCGCUUGAAUGGCAUUCAAGAGGUCAGGGGUUCGACUCCCCUUGGCUCCACCA
rnacentral:tRNA from 1 species